CCCAAUGAAGAGUUCAGCCUUACCUGAGUCGUGAUGAUGGAGUGACGGACUGAGGG
rnacentral:snoRNA from 1 species